GACGAACGCUGGCGGCGUGUCUAAUACAUGCAAGUCGAACGCAGUGGGGACGGGUGAGUAACACGUGGGUAACCUCCCAUCAGAGGGGAGAACACUUGGAAACAGGUGCUAAACCGAUAUUGGAGGAUGUAGCCGCGGUGGAUUAGCUAGUUGGAGAGGUAACGGCGCAGCAAGGCCACGAUGCCUAGCCGGCCUGGGGUGGGGAACCGGCACACUGGGACUGAGAACCGGCCCCAAAUCCUACGGGAGGCAGCAGUAGGGAAUCUUCGGCAAUGGACGAAAGCCUGACCGCGCAACGCCGCGUGAGUGAAGAAGGUUUUCGGAGUGUAAAACUCUGUUGUGAGGGAAGAGGGAUCUAGCAAGAAAGGCACGGCUAACUACGUGCCAGCAGGCGCCGGAAUAC
rnacentral:rRNA from 1 species